rnacentral:lncRNA from 1 species
AGAGGCUAGAGAGAGCCAAGGCAGCAUUAUUAAACUGUACCACUUUUCGGAGUUCCCGUUGUGGCUCAGUGGGUAACGAAUCCGACUAGGAACCAUGAGGUUGCGUGUUCGAUCCCUGGCCUUGCUCAGUGGGUUAAGGAUCCGGUGUUGCCNGUGAGCUGUGGUGUAGGUUGCAGACGCGGCUAGGAUCCAGAAUCCAGUGUUGCUGUGGCUGUGGUGUAGGCCGGCGCCUACAGCUCCGAUUCGACCCCUAGCCUGGGAACCUCCAUGUGCCGAAGGAGCAGCCCAAGAAAUGGCAAAAAGACAAAUAAUAAUAAUAAUAAUAAUAAAAUAAAACUGUAUCACUUUUCUACUCGCCUGCUGGUGUCACGGGGGUACCGUGCUAGCUUAAUGAGAUAAGAUUCUCAAUGAGUGUUUUCUGUACUCUAUGUGUGUGUGUUUUAAAUUAAGACCAGGAAAUCAUUUCUAAUGCACACUUGGGAAUUCGUUUUCUUCUUUUGGCCUUUGCCUUAUGUUCUUUCACCCUCCCAACAACGCAUCCUCUUUAUAGAAAAUUUGGAAAUCACAGAAUCGUGUAAAAGAGGAGGGAUGUGGAGGUCAAAUGUGCAGGCAGAUCUGUCAUAGGCAGGUACUCACACCCCAGCUCUUUUCCUCAAAGGAGGAGAGUGGCAUAGAGGCCUCUUUAUUACUGAGGAAAACUGACCAUAUUUACUAGUUACCCACCCUGACGGGUUGUACAUAUAUAUUAUUUCACAUGUAUGUGCUUCCUGUUUCUAAGAGACCACACCUGAUUUAUUGUCAAUUCAGGGGAAAAAAAAAAUCCAUCAGGGAGUUCCUAUCGCGGCUCAUAAGAAACGAAUCUGAUUAGCAUCCAUGAGGACACAGAUUCGAUUCCUGGCCUCACUCAGUCGUGUAAGGAUCCAGCGUUGCCCUGAGCUGUGGUGUAGGUUGCAGGUGCAGCUCGGACCCGGCGUUGCUAUGGGCUGUGGAGUAGGCUGGCAGCUACAGCUCCAAUUUGACCCCUAGCCUGGGAGCCUCCGUAUGCGGUGAGUGCAGCCCGAAAAAGACCCAAAAAAAAAAAAAUCCAUCAGAAGAGCCUGCUGAUAAAGCAAAGCCAAGUUCAUUCAGGCAACUGCCGUCAGGACAUGGGCCUAUUGGAAUCUAAGCAGAGGAAGGUCAGGAGGCACAUUGAUAGGAUUUAGAGGUCCAGGUCCCGGUCUUUUCAGCGCUGUUUUUUUAAGGCAGAGAACUGAUGGAUUUCAGCAAAGUGUGUGGCAUGGUAGUCAGAGUGGGAACAUCGUUCAGAGUUGGUGGAUACAGCAAGACAUGGGUCUUAGCGAGUCUUGAUGCAUAACCCAUGGAUCAGCAAGCUGUUUUGCCAGGUGAGCAAACCCUUUGCCAGGACAGAUGGCUUUGUAGGAAUUUCCUGCCACAGACAGUGAAGUUAUUUAUUGGUUUACAAUAACUUCCUGGAAGAAAGAGUUAAGUUGUGUUGACACAGAUGGUCCUGAUUCUCAGUCCUAAGAGCUAAGCUUUGUGGACAUGGUCAUCUCUGUUCCCAACCCCGUUUACUCGACUCGAAUCAAAGCUGCAUAACAUCCACCACCAGAGGCACAAGAGGGACCCCUCAAGUGUCCGCUGGAUCAGGGGCUCACCCACCAGGCUCCUGACUCAUCUCCGGUUCCUGGAUUCUGUCUUAGACUGAGAUGUUCAUUUCAUCCUGAUGGAAGGGAUGAACCCAGCCCCCCUUCUCCCAAGGCACUGCCUGCAUCAGCCUAAACACUGGCUCCUCCGUAAUUAACGCCUUAUGCUCAGGAAGUGUGGAGAGGCUGAAGCUCACAGAGUAGUUAGGUUUUCAAGUCCAAACCAAAGGAGAAAAUUGAAUAGAGUCACAAUUGCCUUUGAAAAUUCCCGAGGAAGGGGCCAUGUUGGGCCCAAUACGACCUCCUGUUAAGUCCGAUGUAGCCAGUUUUUCCUGCAAUCCUGGGAAAAUCUUGUUGUUGUUUUUAUUUUUUUCAGUUUAAUAGAGUAGUUAACUUGUAUUUCUGAGCUAUAAGCCAUGAAAGAAUCCAUCAGACAAGAGGUGAGAGACCUACCUGAACCACUGAGGGCAAGUCUGCUUCUUUACUCUCCUGAGCCAGAUGCCCUAGAGGAAAACAUGUGAAAAGUAGCCUGUACUGGGAGUUCCCGUCGUGGCUCAGCGGAAGCAAAUCUGACUAGCAUCCAUGAAGACACGGGUUUGAUUCCUGGCAUUGCUCAGUGGGUUAAGAUUCUGGCGAUGCUGUGAGCUAUGGUGUGGGUUGCAGACGAGGGUCAGAUCUGGCGUUGCUGUGGCUGGGGUGUAGGCCAAUGGCUACAGCUCUGAUUCAUCCCUAGCCUGGGAACCUCCAUAUGCCGCAGGUGUGGCUCUAAAAAGACAACCAAAAAAAAAUAGGUGGCCUGCACUAUGUAACUUGGUGUGUUCUGUAAUUUUUUUUUUUUGGCAGAACUUAAAUUGUUUCAUUUAUUAGAUGCUCCAAGUAAAUCAUAUCGUUGCCUUAUACUUCUUUAUAGACAUUGUUCUUCUUUACUAAUGUGGGUAUUUCUUAGUCAUUAUGGAAUAAUCGUGUCAUUAGCUAUUAUAAUAUUAGAUAAAUCAUAUUCUUCAUUAUCAUUCAUUAUUCCAUAAUUUAGGCACGCGGUUAUCCGCAAGGAAGGAGUCAGCUGCCCUUUGGACAUUUAACACUGACUCCUUGGAAGUUUGUUGUAAAAAUGCAAAGGUAGAGCUUGGCUUGGAGGUGGUUUGUCCCUCAGCACAGCCUGGGACCCGCUGGCUCUUGUUUUACUCCUCAUGUUUUACAUUCACGUGUAUUGAGCAUCUGUGAUCCACCAGGCUCUGUCCCAGGCCCCAGGGAGCGAAAGACCAGCAGCCAUCCUUGACUUCAUGGCACUUUCAGUCUGGCACCAAAGAAGGAUAUGAAACAAAUAGAACAUUAAACACUGAGGAGUUCCCAUCGCGGCUCAGUGAAAAUGAAUCUGACCAGUAUCCAUGAGGACGCAGAUUCGAUCCCUGGCCUUGCUCAGUGGGUUAAGGAUCUGGCGUUGCUGUGAGCUGUGGUGUAGGUCACAGACGCAGCUUGGAUCUGGCGUUGCUGUGGCUGUGGCAUAAGCUAGAGACUAUGACUUUGAUUUGACUCCUAGCCUGGGAUCCUCCAUAUGCUGCUGGUGCGGCCCUAAAAAAAAAAAAAA